rnacentral:rRNA from 1 species
AUCUGGGCGGCGAAAUUCAGGAUGGUUGGGGUGUGUGCGCUUCGGCGCGCGUUCUCCAGCCGUUUGAUGUUUUCGUCGCCACCAUUACGCAGACGUCGCGACCUGUUUGUUGUCGGUCGAGGAGUCGCGAUCGAGUUCGUUGCGUGCGCGUUUCGACGUGUAUCGCGGCGAAGGCGCGAAUUUCCGGCCGACGGCGGACAGUAAGCAACGGUGGCCGGUGUCGUCGCGUUGAGGCGGCAUCGGGACCGGUCGGCGACGAUUUCUUCGGGCCUCUUUCCGACCCGUCUUGAAACACGGACCAAGGAGUCUAACAUGCGCGCGAGUCGCGGGGUGUCGAGCGUUACUACUAGGUGCGCUCGUCAUGUUACGAAACCCGUAAUGUCGAAGGCGUAAUGAAAGUGAAUGGGGAAGAUGGUGUUCCGAGUUCACGUACCGUGAUCCAGUAUCGCGGCCGGACGCCCGCAUUCCCGGGGCGUCUCAACGGCUCGCCGCCGACGCGGACGGUCGUCUCUCUCGGGGGGCGGUCGUCGAUCGGUGGCGGACCGA